rnacentral:rRNA from 1 species
UACGGGGGGGGCAAGCGUUGUCCGGAAUCAUUGGGCGUAAAGCGCGUGUAGGCGGUCCGGUAAGUCCGCUGUGAAAGUCGGGGGCUCAACCCUCGGAUGCCGGUGGAUACUGUCGGGCUUGAGUACGGAAGAGGCGAGUGGAAUUCCUGGUGUAGCGGUGAAAUGCGCAGAUAUCAGGAGGAACACCGGUGGCGAAGGCGGAUCUCUGGGCCUUACCUGACGCUGAGGCGCGAAAGCUAGGGGAGCGAACAGG